rnacentral:misc_RNA from 1 species
AAAUGUUCUAAAUAACAAAAAGGACAAUAGGGGUUUAAUAUGAUUUUUUGUUAGAUUUUUAUUAUUUUUUUUGUUAUUUAGAAAUUUAUGUUGUCUUUUAACGUCAGGAUGUCUAUUAAGAGUGUAUGGUGUUGGA